rnacentral:rRNA from 1 species
GAUAAACGUUUGCGGCGUGCCUGAUGCAUGCAAGUCGAACGAUCUGAUUUUCGCAAGAUUGAUCAGGGAGUGGCGAACGGCUGAGUAACGCGUAAGUAACCUACCCUUAAGUGGGGAUAACUUGCCGAAAGGCAGGCUAAUACCGCAUGUGAUAAUAGGCGUUAGUCUAUUAUUAAAGCUUUGUCGCUUGAGGAGGGGCUUGCGUCUGAUUAGCUAGUUGGUAGGGUAAUGGCCUACCAAGGCGAUGAUCAGUAGCUGGUCUGAGAGGACAACCAGCCAGACGGGGACUGAGAUACGGCCCUGACUCCUACGGGAGGCAG